UACGUAGGGGGCAAGCGUUGUCCGGAUUUAUUGGGCGUAAAGAGCGUGUAGGCGGUUAGGUAGGUCCGUUGUGAAAACUCGAGGCUCAACCUCGAGACGCCGAUGGAAACCCCCUAACUAGAGUCCGGAAGAGGAGAGUGGAAUUCCUGGUGUAGCGGUGAAAUGCGUAGAUAUCAGGAGGAAUACCGAUGGCGAAGGCAGGUCUCUGGGCUGACACUGACGCUCAUGCACGAAAGCGUGGGGAGCAAACAGG
rnacentral:rRNA from 1 species